rnacentral:rRNA from 1 species
CAGCCGCGUAAUUCCAGCUCCAAUAGCGUAUAUUAAAGUUGUUGCAGUUAAAAAGCUCGUAGUUGAAUUUCGGGAUCAAUAUGUCGGUCGUGCCUUCGGUACGUACUGGUAUCAUUGGUCUCUCCUUUCUGACGAACCAUGAUGUCAUUAAUUUGGUGUUAUGGGGAGUUAGGACUGUUACUUUGAAAAAAUUAGAGUGUUUAAAGCAGGCUUUAGCUUGAAUACAUUAGCAUGGAAUAAUGAAAUAGGACGUUCGAACCUAUUUUGUUGGUUUCUAGGAUCAACGUAAUGAUUAAUAGGGAUAGUUGGGGGCAUUAGUAUUCAAUUGUCAGAGGUGAAAUUCUUGGAUUUAUUGAAGACUAACUACUGCGAAAGCAUUUGCCAAGGAUGUUUUCAUUAAUCAAGAACGAAAGUUAGGGGAUCGAAGACGAUCAGAUACCGUCGUAGUCUUAACCAUAAACUAUGCCGACUAGGGAUCGGAUGAUGUUAAUUUUUUAAUGACUCAUUCGGCGCCUUAC